UUCCGUUUUCAACGAACCGAUAAGCAGGUGGACAAGGGUAAGGUUACGCGGCGAGUGUCAAGGAAAUACAAAGCAGGAAAAACUCGUCCUGCAUACAAAGAGACACUUUCCAGAAGGACGGUAAAGGGAAAAUCGAUACAGAAAUUAUUAUCUCCGGUUGAUGAAAUGACAGAGGACUUUUGUCGAUCCCAGUAGGCUUUUCGUCUGAACAGCAGCGAAUUCUAAUUAGCCCAACCUACUUUGGUUCACAUUCGCUUUGACUUAUUGCAAAGUAUUCAAAACCAAUCCUCGAUUGCUUCUUGAUGAAACGCCAGCCUGGAUCGGUCGUUUAAUUUUCUGGUGUAACGAAGCAAGAAAUUAUCAUUUUUAGCGUGCCGUCGCAGAAUUCGGAUGAUUCUAAUUGUGGGAAACUCACGUUACGAUACAGGACAGGAGAAUCUAAUUACAAACACAGAGGCCCUGCUGCCCUUCCCCGUUGCUUCGACGCGAGAAGGUGAUACCCCGAGCGCGCGGUGCAAUUAAGUCGCGAUGAGUGUUAGAUCAUCACGUUCCACGGUUCCAAGAACAGGCCCAGCUACAGGAUCUCUUAAGAAGCCACAUCGAACUCCUGCGGACUACAAGAGAUACCGACGAAUCCAAAGCCAAUGGCAUGCGACUAUUUUCCAGGCCUUAGCUAUCGCUGAUAGUAUUCGACUCAGCAAGCGUCCUGGCUGCACUGAGCUCCCUGGUCAACAAACACCCGUUACGGACAGCGACACCACCUACAUGUGGGUUCCCAAAAACUCCGGCAUCGAAGGACAUGAACAUGCCGAUACGUUAGCCAACAAUGAUCGCGACAGCCGUUUCCUGCGUCCAGAGGUGCCGACAUCUGAUGUGAAACUUUGGAUCAAGCAAGAAACCGCAGCAGCUUGGGCCACCGAGUGACAAUGAACGUUCUGCAGAAUGUUAAAGAACACUAAAUUGUCUGGAGAAGACAUGCCCAAUCGGCACGAAUAAAUGUAACAAACCAUUGUGCUAGUUAAAAUGUAAAUAUUGUUUUCUCGA